rnacentral:rRNA from 1 species
GGGGGGUGCAAGCGUUGUUCGGAAUUAUUGGGCGUAAAGCGCGUGUAGGCGGUCUGAUUAGUCUGAUGUGAAAGCCCUGGGCUCAACCCAGGAAGUGCAUUGGAUACUGUCAGACUUGAAUACGGGAGAGGGUAGUGGAAUUCCUAGUGUAGGAGUGAAAUCCGUAGAUAUUAGGAGGAACACCGGUGGCGAAGGCGGCUACCUGGACCGAUAUUGACGCUGAGACGCGAAAGCGUGGGUAGCAAACAGGAUUAGAUACCCUGGUAGUCCACGCCGUAAACGAUGAGUACUAGGUGUUGCGGGUAUUGACCCCUGCAGUGCCGCAGCUAACGCAUUAAGUACUCCGCCUGGGAAGUACGGUCGCAAGACUA